rnacentral:rRNA from 1 species
AUCUCCUUGUUUCUUAGUUAUAAGCAACUAUACGGUGAACUGCGAAUGGCUCAUUAAAUCAGUUAUCGUUUAUUUGAUAGUACCUUACUACAUGGAUAACCGUGGUAAUUCUAGAGCUAAUACAUGCUAAAAACCUCGACUUCGGAAGGGGUGUAUUUAUUAGAUAAAAAACCAAUGCCCUUCGGGGCUCCUUGGUGAAUCAUAAUAACUUAACGAAUCGCAUGGCCUUGCGCCGGCGAUGGUUCAUUCAAAUUUCUGCCCUAUCAACUUUCGAUGGUAGGAUAGUGGCCUACCAUGGUAUCAACGGGUAACGGGGAAUUAGGGUUCGACUCCGGAGAGGGAGCCUGAGAAACGGCUACCACAUCCAAGGAAGGCAGCAGGCGCGCAAAUUACCCAAUCCCGACACGGGGAGGUAGUGACAAUAAAUACUGAUACAGGGCUCUUUUGGGUCUUGUAAUUGGAAUGAGUACAAUUUAAAUCCCUUAACGAGGAACAAUUGGAGGGCAAGUCUGGUGCCAGCAGCCGCGGUAAUUCCAGCUCCAAUAGCGUAUAUUAAAGUUGUUGCAGUUAAAAAGCUCGUAGUUGAACCUUGGGCCUGGCUGGCCGGUCCGCCUCACCGCGUGUACUGGUCCGGCCGGGCCUUUCCUUCUGGGGAACCUCAUGCCCUUCACUGGGCGUGUUGGGGAACCAGGACUUUUACUUUGAAAAAAUUAGAGUGUUCAAAGCAGGCCUUUGCUCGAAUACAUUAGCAUGGAAUAAUAGAAUAGGACGUGUGGUUCUAUUUUGUUGGUUUCUAGGACCGCCGUAAUGAUUAAUAGGGAUAGUCGGGGGCAUCAGUAUUCAAUCGUCAGAGGUGAAAUUCUUGGAUUGAUUGAAGACUAACUACUGCGAAAGCAUUUGCCAAGGAUGUUUUCAUUAAUCAGUGAACGAAAGUUAGGGGAUCGAAGACGAUCAGAUACCGUCGUAGUCUUAACCAUAAACUAUGCCGACUAGGGAUCGGACGGUGUUAGUAUUUUGACCCGUUCGGCACCUUACGAGAAAUCAAAGUUUUUGGGUCCUGGGGGAGUAUUCCCCCCCG